AACGAACGCUGGCGGCAUGCCUAACACAUGCAAGUCGAACGAGACCUUCGGGUCUAGUGGCGCACGGGUGCGUAACGCGUGGGAACCUGCCCUUAGGUUCGGAAUAACUCCCCGAAAGGGGUGCUAAUACCGGAUAAUGUCUUCGGACCAAAGAUUUAUCGCCUUUGGAUGGGCCCGCGUUGGAUUAGCUAGUUGGUAGGGUAAAAGCCUACCAAGGCGACGAUCCAUAGCUGGUCUGAGAGGAUGAUCAGCCACACUGGGACUGAGACACGGCCCAGACUCCUACGGGAGGCAGCAGUGGGGAAUAUUGGACAAUGGGCGAAAGCCUGAUCCAGCAAUGCCGCGUGAGUGAUGAAGGCCUUAGGGUUGUAAAGCCCUUUUACCCGGGAUGAUAAUGACAGUACCGGGAGAAUAGGCUCCGGCUAACUCCGUG
rnacentral:rRNA from 1 species